AAUGCCGGUCAGUCGCCUCGAUGUAAUUUACCGAAAGAUACUUUUGACAAAAUUUUUCACGAAAGGAUGGGGCUCCGCAGACGGUUUACUUCAAUUAUUCAAAUUUCGGAAAGUGGUGGCGAACAGAAACUCUUGUUAUGAAUUAGUGCCAAAAGACUACCCCAUCGAGAUAAUCAACGCACAAAAACGUCCAGGUUUCCAGAUAAUCGAGGGUCGAUUUUGGACUCCGUUUAAGAUGUAUUUACCCACGUUAUUAGUUCCUGAGAUUCAGCAGGUGUUCUUUCAAAUGAUGGUGCCAUCGAAGUGGCCUUGUCCAAACUACCGACCUAUGUGUAUCCACCUUGCUGGAACAGGCGAUCAUUAUUUUUGGAGGAGACGAAAUUUAAUGGCAAAGCCGCUGUUACAAGCAGGGAUCGGGUCAAUUAUUUUAGAAAACCCCUACUACGGGCAUAGGAAGCCCAAAGAUCAACUCCGUUCUAGUUUGCAUUUUGUCUCAGAUAUUUUUGUAAUGGGGGGCUGUUUGAUUUUGGAAAGUAUAGCUCUUUUGAAUUGGUUGGAACGUAUGGGUUUUGGCCCGUUGGGAGUUUCUGGAAUCUCAAUGGGUGGCCAUAUGGCUUCCUUGGCGGCUUCUAAUUGGCCAAAACCUUUAGUGCUUGUUCCUUGCUUAUCAUGGUCAACUGCCUCUUCAGUUUUUACAGAGGGUGUUAUGAGUGAGUCUAUUGAUUGGGAUAUGCUCCAAGAGCAACUAUUUUCAAAUACAUUGUACUGUGAUACUCUUUCAAAGUCAUGUAAAAUUAUUGAUAGUCCAUUUGCAUGCACCCUUAGUAGAAUUCCAGAGUAUGGUUUGGAUUCUUUAAUAGGAGACAAAUUUGCGGACGGUUAUAUAACACCAUAUGAAAUGAUGACAAUGUUAGACUCAAGUAAUUGUCCUGCCAUUACCUAUAAGCAUUCUAGUCAGAACAUGAAAGUAGAAUCUGGUGAAUACUCAUCCUUGAAUUUGUCGAUUUUUAAGACAAACAAGCGUACUUUGAAUAUGCGAAAACGUGAUAAAGACGCUAUUUGGUUCAUGAGAGGCAUGAUGGACGAGUUUACUCAUUUAAAAAAUUUCUCGGUGCCUUUCGAUCCAUCGCUCAUUAUAGCUGUGUGUGCCAAGUCUGAUGGCUACGUUCCUAGAGUCGGUAUUUCUAAGUUAGAAGAAAUUUGGCCAGGAGUCACUAUUAAAUACGUGGAUACCGGCCACGUUGGGGCCUACAUCUGGCACAGAAAACUAUUUAGGUUCGUAUCACCGCGGUCCGUAAAUUGGGGUGCGUGAAAAUACGUCACGUGACCUCGCUUUACGGUGCGAGUUCGGUUAUGACUUUGAGGGUUAUCAACUUAUCAAAUCACCUUGAGUGUUUUUUGUUUCCGUUGGAUUCUUCAUACGAACGUAUGACGCGUCAUAACCGAGUCUUUGCUCCCCGAUCAAUAAACAACAAAAAGAAAACCAUAGAGUAGUCUCGCCUUCGCCUGUAUGGAGGUCACUGACUCAGACUGAUUUUCAAACGAGAAAUCAAGUUCAAGAGAAUGUAUUAUUGACGCUUUUGAAAAAGCGAAAAAGGUUGUGCAGCCUCCUGGUCCCUAUUUUGAAAUUUGACUUUAAUUUUGUUUUGUUAGUGUUUUCUUUUUUUGUAAAUUUUAACAAUGUACCUGACUGAGGUAUUGUGAUAAUUUUGUAAAAUAAAGACGUUCAAUGAUGAGAAA